rnacentral:rRNA from 1 species
AGAGUUUGAUCAUGGCUCAGGAUGAACGCUAGCGGCAGGCUUAAUACAUGCAAGUCGUGGGGCAGCAGGUUUGUAGCAAUACAGAUGCUGGCGACCGGCAAACGGGUGCGGAACACGUACGCAACCUCCCUCCUUCUGGAAGAUAGCCCACCGAAAGGUGGAUUAAUACUCCAUAAUAUAUUGAAGUGGCAUCACUUUAAUAUUAAAGCUCCGGCGGAAAGAGAUGGGCGUGCGUCUGAUUAGGUAGUUGGCGGGGUAACGGCCCACCAAGCCUGCGAUCAGUAGCUGAUGUGAGAGCAUGAUCAGCCACACGGGCACUGAGACACGGGCCCGACUCCUACGGGAGGCAGCAGUAAGGAAUAUUGGUCAAUGGACGCAAGUCUGAACCAGCCAUGCCGCGUGGAGGAUGAAGGCCCUCUGGGUUGUAAACUUCUUUUCUCUGGGACGAAACCCCCGAUUUCCAUCGGGCCUGACGGUACCAGAGGAAUAAGCACCGGCUAACUCCGUGCCAGCAGCCGCGGUAAUACGGAGGGUGCAAGCGUUAUCCGGAUUCACUGGGUUUAAAGGGUGCGUAGGUGGGCAAGUAAGUCAGUGGUGAAAUCUCUGGGCUUAACCCGGAAACUGCCAUUGAUACUAUUUGUCUUGAAUUCUCUGGAGGUAAGCGGAAUAUGUCAUGUAGCGGUGAAAUGCUUAGAUAUGACAUAGAACACCCAUUGCGAAGGCAGCUUACUACGGAGACAUUGACACUGAGGCACGAAAGCGUGGGGAUCAAACAGGAUUAGAUACCCUGGUAGUCC